rnacentral:lncRNA from 1 species
GGGACCUGAUACAGAAAAAUGGAAAUACCUCUCCCAUGUCUCCCAUAUCUUUGGUUCUGAAAUACUAAAAUAAAUAAAUGCUUUUUUUUUUUUUUUUUUUUAAAUCACAGAGUCAAGUCUAAGUGAUUCAUGCAAAAUAACAGUAACAAAUUGCUAGACUACAGGAGGCAAGUAUUGGGCUCCAGAGAGAAAGAUCUGUAAGAGGCUGGGAGAUGAUCAGAAGUAGCCCAUGGAUCCUGGGAGGCUUGCAGACCACAAACUGAAGAUGACUGUGCUAUGGGGAACGUCAUCGUUGAUUGAAUUCAAGUGAUUAAAGCAUCAGAGAAGUUCUGGUUAGUCCUUCAACUACUCAGAGAACAUGAAAGGGUACUGGUCUGUGGAAUUCAAGUGUGAGAUUUGGCAGGACUCAGAUGUCAAAGACAAAAAUGGGGACAGGGAUGGUUUGGGGACAAUAAUAACACUAAUUCUUCUUCGUUUGAAUUGCUCUUCAGUAACAGAAAUGACUGAAAUAUUUCCUGAUGGAAAGAGGACUAUGCAGAAAGUCAGCAGGGUGGUCAUUCAACUAGUGUGCUGCUCAGAAAGCUGCUCAGCUCCCCAGGUCUGGGGCUUCCCAUUGUUGAACUACUUAAAUUUCUUACCAGGGA